rnacentral:sRNA from 1 species
AGCACUUGCACAUAAGACACACACAGGUGUCUGGUUCUGUGGUGCAUGAACGACUUUUCUAAGCGAGAGACACAGCAGCCUGAGCAGACUCAGGUGAGUGACCUCUGGGCAGAUGCCGAGGAGGGUCACCCCUGAGCACUCACCGGGUGCAUGUUCUGCACUGACGGCGUGGACCAUCCUCUCUUUUGUCCUCACAGAGACUCUGUGGCGAUGGGUGCUGUCCCCAAAUGUAGCCAUUCCACAGGAAAACAAAGUCCCCUCCUGUAUUGACAGCUGGGAAUUGUGGUGUCCACCGUCCUCGACCUGCGAUGGGGUCUCCAUGAGCACAGAGGCUGCUCUGGAGUCAAUAGAUCAUCUUUUCCCCAAACCAAACUGCUUGGCUGGCGUUGUUCCUGAAGCGGCUUCACUGGCCAGAGUGAGUGAGAAUUGGGGUAGAACGGAGCAGUCACCAGAUGUCUUGCUUCCUACAGAAAACUGAUUAUAUUCCUGGUCCCUGAACGAUCCUAUAGAGACAUCCAGUCCCUGACUCCACCUGCCUCCAGGUGCCCAGAACAGCCCAUCGUGGGGACUUCACCCUC